rnacentral:misc_RNA from 1 species
UAUACUUCUGAUAUUUGGACUUCUAUUCAAUUAGGAAAUAUAAUUCAUAAAGGAUAUAAUCUCUCUCAUCGCAACCCUAUAUAUGCCCUAAUUUGGCUGUUCUUGUUUGUCCUGUUCUGCAUCCUUAAUUUGGUUACUCUUCUUUAUUCUGUUCUGCAAAUGGAAAUCACUGCGGCAGACUCCGAUGCGCCGCCGGAGCAAUCCCGGAGAAGAGGCGCUAGGGAGUGGAGAAGAGGCGGUAGGGGGCGGAGAAGAAUUGAAAUCAAGAAAAUACAAGACAGAAGGAGCCUAAUCUUGGCUUUCUCAAAGCGUCGCACUGGUCUUUUCAAAAAAGCCGGCGAAGUAUGCAACUUAUGUGGUGUAGAAGCUGCCGUCAUCACGUUCUCCCCGGCGGGAAAACCCUACGCUUUUGGUAAACCUUCUGCGGACUCAGUCGUUCGUCGCUAUCUAACCGAAAGCAUAAGCACUGCCUCUACUAGUGAAUUAUAUCUUCCUGCGGAGGAAGAGGAAGAGGAAGAGGA